rnacentral:misc_RNA from 1 species
GCAAAUCUCAAAGUCAAUUCCUUAAUUGGUUUUGCUUUGGACUUGGAGGUCUUGCAGAUUUCACAGUCUGCUCCUCUUAAAUGCAUUAGCUGGAUCUCAGUAAUUAUGCUUGGUUCCACUCGGCGUGAUAAGUAUCACUCGCUGAGGACACUGUUAAAAAGGUGGCCAGGAAAAUACUGAUUGAACCGCUUCUAACGGUCUAUUAAGUUAGACAAUUGACCCUUAAGU